ensembl:lncRNA
ACAUAGGAACCACCUGGAAACUUUUUUCCCCGAAAACCACAUGCCUGGUCCCAACUCCUGACUCAGUAGGGGUGGGAAGGAUCCCCACCAUGUGUAUUUCGAAAAAGCUCACCAGAGAAUUCUGCUGGAUGCCAAAGUUUGAACGCUAGACCUUUAGAGAAGGGAGAGUGAAUUUUGGCAAAUACUCAAGAUUACAUAAAGGCAGGGGGUGGAGAUGAGAAAAGAGCUCUCCCUAGCCUCCGUCUUGAGCCAUGAAAGUGUCACUGCCAGAGAGAGACUGUGCAGGAAUGAAGACACAAGUUACCACCAGACAAAUGACUGAAAGCAUCUUUUGACUCCGAGAAGCGACAUGCUUAGCUCCUCAGGCACGUGACUUGUUUCCUGGGAAACAGAUCAAGAGAUGGGACCACCUAUUGGGCUUCAUGAAUAAGCCUAAUAGUUGAUCAUCAGCUUGACUUAUCUACAUCUGCUCACGAGCAGUGCUAAGAAGGACCCCCAAGUCCUACAAUGAGGGCUUCCGGGCAGUCUUUUUCACAUCGAGGCUACAUUAUGGAUCACCUUCUUUUGCAUUGCUGUCUGUGAGCGUUGUUCUUUCUUUAAUUAAAUCCCUUGAGUGAAAGGAUCUUCCCAAUCAAACAAAUUCUGGAACUGUCUGCAGAGGUGAGACAAGAAAACAAGCCUGAGACAAGGCUUAAGUGUUGAUGCUUUAUUGAAAAAUGCAAUAGCGGAACAGUAAGAGAGACAAAGAAAGAUGGGAAGUAAACAUAAGAUGAUAUAUUACCAUGCCAGCUACUGCUUCACAAGCCACAGAGACAUAGUUGGUUGCUCAGCUGUAUGAACAUCUCCAAGCAAGCUAUGUGGAAAACGGUGCCUCAGGACCGUCUUUGAGAAGGAAGAAGGGAGAGGAAUUUAUCUGAUGCCUUUCCCUCUCUAUCUCCUGUCUCCCACUUGGUCAAAGUUUCCCCAUAGAGAACUGCUAUCUUAGUUUACAUUAUUUGACCCCUUUUGGCAGCUGUUGGGGAAGCCAGGUCCCAUGUCCUGUGGCAUGGAGUUUGUUCUGAGUCCAGUGGAACAGAAAGGAGCCAGGGUCCGUGGAUCAGAUUGAGUCUGGCCUGGGAUCACAUCAUGGUGGUUUCCGUGGGGUCUGUUCUAACAGAAGAAGCUAGACUGAUAUUGGCAACUGGCUUCCAAUGAGCCAGCGGCUGAAGGUCUGUGGACUUGUGACUUUGAGAGAAUCUAAAGUAGUGCUUAAAAUGUGUCCAAUAUAGCUUGUUAUCUUAGCCUGGGUGUUUUCUAGAAAAGCAGAGGCUGAGGCAGGGCCUCAGUGCAAGUAGUUAUUUGGAGAUGUGAUUCUGGGCAACAGGAAAGAAGAACUAGUGAGAAUGAAACAGAAAAGGAAAGAAAGCCAAUAUAAAUGAUCAUCCUGCCUUGGUCACUGCUGUGGACACCCAGGCUUCAAUCCUGCUGAGACCUUCUGAGAAACCAUGUAAAAUGUGCCUCAGAGUUGAACACCUCAGGAAACAAAAAGAGGGGCAUCUAUUCUCUGACUCCCAGUCCCCGUUGGUCAAGGGUUGCCCAUUGGAUGCUAACUCCCUUGCACUCCAGAUUGCCCCUGUAUAAACACUGGAUGGAAUCCCACAAGCUUCCCAGCCAACAGGGUCAGAAAACCCUGAUGCAGAAAGUUGAAGCUACAUGGUGUCACCAAGGGAGGUCACACAUGCCCAAAGCUGGUUGCCACAGGAAUAGCUAGGGUAAAAUGUAGGCCAAGUGGGUAUGAGGAAGGGUAUGAGAGCUCUCUGCCACACUUGUCAAUAAGCAUUUCAACAGUAGGAUUUCUCUUCACUUUUGCUUUCCAAACUGGCUAGAUUUUUUGUCAGUUGUCAAUUUUUGUUGUUAUGAUAUUUAAUAUGUAGCCCUAUAAGUAGAGUGUUUUCAUUUUAACAGAAAUCAUGCCAUAAAAAAUGUAAG